CUUCCUUGUCAUUAUUGCAACCACAACUUAAAAAUAAAACUAUAUGCAUAGUUUGCAUAACAUUGGAACAAAUUAUGCCAAAACAAAAAAAUAAAAGAUGCUAUAAUGAACAUUGAUAUCCGAAACACUUACAAUCAGCUUCUAAUGACUUCAUCUGCACAACAAAAUAAAGUGCAAAGUCUACAAAACAUUCAAAAAAACCUCAAAAUUUUGUCCAAAACACAUUAAACUUAAAUAGAAAACCAACAAUUGAAUUAAAACCUUAAAUGUUAACACAACGAACAACUAACCCCAAAACCCUAAAGCCAGAACUAAAUGAACACCUACAUUCAAUUUCUAACGACUUCAUCUGCACAACAAAAUGUAGUGCAAAGUCUACAAAACAUAUGAAAAAACCCUCAACAUUUUUCCCACCUCACAUUAAACUUAAACAAAAAAAACCAACAGCUAAAUCUAAACCUCAAAUGUUAACACAACGAACAACUAACCCCAAAACAAAAAGUGUAAUACGCAAAAAACUGAUAUCCCAUAAAAUAAAAUAAAAAUUAACACAAAAUCAAUUUUACAAAGAAAAAGCUCACUUACCAAAUGAACCUUCGAUCAAGCUUACACCAACCCCAACGAUGAUUGAAAUAUAGUAGUAUAGAGGAGAUGAAGAGAUAAGAAGAAUGUUGGAAAUGUGGAUGUUGUGUGGAAAAGAGAAAUGAGAGAUAUGAGUGUAAGCGUGAGUGUGAUGAACCAUUUCUCCUUUACAAGAGAGAAAAAUUAGAAGAGAGACAAAUGAGUGACAAUAGUUGCUUACUGUCUUGUCAAUAAGCAAAGAAGUGUUUAGAAGUUCUUUAAAAAAUUGAACCCAUCGCUUUCUCAUUUUUUUCUCCCCAUUUUGCUAACUAAGGGAAGACAAGUAUCGAAACAUGAAAUAAAUAGCAUCAAUUUCCCCCACGAAUGUCUCUCUUGUGCUUGCUUCAAACCUCAAACUCCUCUGCGGUUUCGCUUGUUGUUCUUCUUCAUAGGUAACUCAAAUAAAAAAAUAAUAACUGAUAAACAUAUUUACACCAUAAAAUUAAACUUUGAUGUUUGAAAAAGGAAAAAACCAAAUAAAACUGAAUACACCUUUAUUUCCACUUUCAUCGCCUAACUAUCAAGAAGAUGAGUCUAUGAUAUUAACCCUUACCUUUUCCCUUAACCUUUGUGUGUUAUAUAUUACUCUAUAAUUAUGUUCAAAAAUAAAUUUUAAAGAAAGUCAUUGUUACUUUAAUAAUCACAAUAUUUUAUUAUGUUUGACAAAUUUACACAUAACAUACAUAGUUGAAUUCCAAAAUAUUUGUCUCUGAAUUAAAUGAAAAAAAGUACUUUUUUUUUUAUUCAAUGUGUUAUGUAGUAUUUAAUAAAUUCAAAUAGUAAAACAAUAAACUCAAUGUGCAGACAGAAACACAAAUUUUAGUUACACAAUAUUAAUUAUUAUAAGUAAAUAUAUGUAAGACAUGCCAUAUUAAUGAUAGAUAUAUAAGAAAAUAAAUGAGGAAGAACAAAUAAGUAAGUAAUUAAUGUUGAAGAAAUAAGUAUGAAUUAAAAUUAAGUUGUACACACAUCUUACUAAGAAUAGAUAAAAAAAACAAUUUGUAAAUGCAUCUAAAUAGAGUAAUGUUUAAAACAUAACAAAUUAAAUUAUUGGAUUGUCAUAUAACAAAAACAAAUUUCAGUUAGACAUACACUAUUGGUUUUGUGUUAAUAAUAAUUCAAGAAUGGGAAUAUUUUCAUCACCUUUUUUUUUGGGCAAAGGCAUGUAAGAAGGUCAAACACAAAUAAACUGUCAAAAAUAAAUUUUAGAGGGCAAGCUUAUUUCCAUUUCAAAGACAAAAUACAUUCAAUUAAAAUUGAAAAGGUUUUAUGUACCCAUGUCUUAUUGAAGGCCAUUAAUCUGAAUUAGGGUUGAAAAACAUCAUUGUUGUAUUAUGAACGUUUCAACCACAACAUCACCUACAAAUUUUAGAGGGAAAUUGCUUAAAAAUAAAGAAUCCAAACAUGAAUAAAUGUUAACUUUUUAGAGGAGCAAAAAAGAAAAAAAAAACAGCAAUAAUUAUAAUAAUAAUACUUUAUGUAUAAAGCGUUAAACAUAUUUGUUUUCUAAGCAUAUAAUAUUGGGGAAGACUCGCUUAUUUUUGCAAAUUGGAUUGCAAUUGUUGUUACUGAAGUUGUGUUUUGAAUAAGCCAAUUUAAACCUUCUUCAGCAUAGUUAUCAUGCAACACAUAUUCCACCUUUCCCCCAUGCAUUUAAACAAAAACAAAUUUAUAUAAAAAAAAUUGUAGAUUUGAAAUAAGUAAACAUACAUAUGAUCUAAAAUUUCAAAGAUAAAUUUUGAGAUCCUGUUGUUGUUACGUAAAUCUUGUUUUGGUCUAGACCUUGUUGUGACAACAUCAACUAUAUCUAUGUAAAAAAACAUUGUGUUAGUAAUAUCAUAUAUUUUCAUAGAAAUAAAGAUAUAAAAUGAAUAAUAUGUGUUAUUAGCCAUCAAAAACUCUGAAUAUUACUUUAGAUUGGAAAUUUCAUUGAUGUGGACAGGUAUUAGCCCAAAGUUAGUAUAGAUAUCAAAUUCAACCUCUCUAAUGUCAGUUUUUUUGUUAAUUGUAGGAUAUUAUCAUGUUUGUUGGCCAGCAUUAUUCAAUAACUUAACAUUGUCAAAGGUGAAAUUUUUUUCAGGAUUUAUCUUAUCCUUUAAAACCAUAUCAUAAAUUUUCUCUUUCAUUAGAGCUUCAAUUCUACAACCCUGUACAUCGAAAUAGAAAUACAUAUAAAUGUCAUGUACAUUGAAAUAGAAAUAUGCAUAAAUAAUUGUAAUCAACUUCUUUCUAUUUGCAAUUCACAUUACUUCAAAUCUCAAAAAUAAAAAUAGUAAAUAGAAGAAAAAGUAUGAUCCAUAUUAAGAACAUACCUCUGAAUCUAUCAAAAUGAACUUAAUAUAAGAUUCAUGUUUCCCGUUGAUAAGUUGGCAGAAUGGCAAAUAUCUAAUAAUCUAACAUUUUACAAACCAUUUCACUUGAGUUGGGUUGAUCUCUUUAAUUUUGAUUUCUCUUAAAGUAUUUGAAGACAUAACUGAAUAGCAGUGAGAAAAGACAAAAUAAACAUUAAAUCUAUAAAAUAAGAUAUGCUUGUAGGCAUAAGCAGCAAAAUAUGAACGAGCAAAAACUUUAAACCGAACUUGCAAACACAAGUAGCAAAAUAUGAAAGAGGCUAUAGAGAAACACUCAAAAACCACUCUCCAAUAAUUGAACUGGUAAAACAACAAACUCAAGCUCUAUCCAGAAGGAAUAAAAUAUGAAAGUGUUCACAUAGAAACACUUCAAAUAGAAUAACCACCAAACAUCAAUUAUUAGCAUUAAUAAAAAAGAAAAUAAUCAACUCAACCUCAACGAAACCAAGUCAACACUGGACACAACAAACCACAGUAAACCACAGUAAUUAUAGUCACUCAAUAGCCAAAACAUCUCUUCAUAAAGUAAAUUUGAAAUCCAAACCCUCAAACCCAAUCAAACAACUUCAAACUUCAAACCUCAAACAAACUCCUAACACAAAAUAAGGAAUGAAAACAACGCACAGAGUAUUUACCUAGAUUGAAUCAAACAUUCAUACAUUGCUAAUAAAAAAGAAUCCACAAAAAGAAUUAACACGAAAUCAAUUGUUUUUAAAAAAACCCACAAAAAAAUUAAUAUAAAUUCAAUUUUAAAAAACACACCUCACUUACUAAAUGAUUCUUUGGGGCCAAAUUGACGAUAGCCCCAACAUUAAACUCCAAAAUUUGAUUAGAAAAACCCUCACUUACCAAAUGAAUCUUCGGCCAAGCCUACCACAGCCCCAACGAUAUUUGAACUGUAGUAGAUUCAAAUGAAGAGGUAAAGAGAAGAGAUGAAGAGAGAAGAAAAAUGUUCGGAACAGUCAAGGGUGUGCAUAUGAUGAAAAGCUCGUGUUGAUGAAGCUUGGGUCGAUGAAGAGGGAGUGAGGCUCGAGUCUAAUGAAGAAGCUCGGGUCCACGAAGAGGGAGUGUUCUUCUUUUUUUCUUUGAAUGAGUAAGUAUUUUUUUCAAAGUUCCCAUUUUACCAACAUAUAGAGGAUAGGUGUGACGCAAGAAAUGAGGGUAAAAUGGUCAUUUCUAGGGCCUAAGAAUUCUUUAAGUUAUAUUAGAUAGAUUAAUCAAGUCCCAGCAAACAUGCUUUGUACUUGUGCAUCAGAAGUAGUAUUUAUUAUCUGAUUAUGCAUUAUUAUUGUAUUCUUCUUGUGGGGUUAAAAAUCCUCGUUGAAUAAAGUGUCGC
rnacentral:lncRNA from 1 species